rnacentral:tRNA from 1 species
UCUAAUAUGGCAGAUUAGUGCAAUGGAUUUAAGCCCCAAAAAUAAAGUUCCUACUUUUUUUAGAA